rnacentral:lncRNA from 1 species
UCUGGCUCUGGCCAGGCGGCAGCAUAUUUAUAAGACCUCAAAGCUCCACCUCCCCAGUGACACACUUCCCUAACAAGACCACACCUCUAAUUCCAGUUGUGUUAUUUAUUCCAAGCCAUGAACACACCAUUUAGACAAUUUUGAAGCUGUUCUAGAUGUAUUUCUCAUUUAUCAAUUAUUUCUAGGAAAACUGCCUAAGAAUUAUGACCCAAAAGUUACCCCAGAUCCAGAAAGAUGGCUACCAAUGCGAGAGCGCUCUUAUUACCGAGGAAGAAAGAAGGGUAAAAAGAAGGACCAGAUUGGAAAAGGAACACAGGGAGCGACUGCAGGAGCCUCCUCUGAACUGUAAGUUGUGGCUGCAAAACAGGAGUCUCCGAAUGCAGUUCAUCCUGGAGGCUGGUUGACAGGGUUUCUCUGUGCAGUCCUGGCUGUCCUGGAACUCAUUCUGUAGACCAGGCUGGCCUCGAACUCAGAAAACCACCUCUGCCUUUCAAGUGCUGAAAUUACAGGCGUGCACCACCACUGCCCGGCCUCAACUGCAGAUUUCUUAUUGCCUUAGUGACGAGGGGUGGGGCUGUCUUAAAAAUCUCCUAUCCACUUCCAGCCUUUGUAAAGAGUCCGUGUUGGGAUACCUCCGAAACCUCGGAAACCUAACCAGUUAGGAAGCAUAUGUGUACCGCGGGUGGUUGAGUUGUCUCCCUUCACACCGGAAGCGGGAGCAGGAUCCCUCUCUCCCGCCUCUGUCUCACGGUGCGGUGUCUAACAGAGACGCACCCUAGGAGAGCGUCACGUCUCCAUAGCAACCGGUGAUCCAAGCGCUGAGGCCGGACCGGCGGGGCGGGGCCAGGCGGCGGGGGCGGAUUUUUUUCUUCCUCCACCACAGUGCUGCACCUAAAGUGACCCCUUUCUCCCGUCUCGGGUGGAUGAGCUGUCUUCUAUUGGUGGCCAUUUCUGCCUUCUAUUUGUUGGACCUCAUCCCACCUAACUUUAAUUUUCAAAAAUGGUUGUGUGUGUAUGGAUAUAUACCAAUGAUGCAUAUAUGUGGUUGUGUGUGUGUGUACCACAGUGGAGUCAGAGAAACAUUCUGCAGAGUCUUAUCUUUAUGUGGGUUCUGUCAGGUCAUGCACUGAGCCGUGUUACCAGUCCCAUCUAACCUCUUUCUGCUGCAUCCUUUGGUCCCCUCUUUCCUGGACCAUCCUCCCCAUUGAGAGAUAAAUACUAUACAAUUCCUGUACCUGGAAACAACCACAGACCUUUCCCCAGCCCCAACAACCCUUCUCUUCCAGGCACCACUCUAUUUCCUUACUUGACUUAGAGGGGACCUCCCCCCCAAAUCCUCAAAAUGGAUAACAUGAAGUCAUGAUUUCAGCGCCCUCUCUUUCUGUCCUCCUGAGAACUACUUAAAUUAAGAUCUCAUUCCCUCCACUUAGCUGAGGCUGCUUGUAUUGGGGUCACAAUGAUCUCUUCCUGCUCAAAGCAAAGGCGAAUGCUUCAUUUGACACAUUUUUUCCUAUCCCAGGACCCUGUCUUGUUUCCUGAAAUACCAAUAUUGCUGUCAGAAUAGUAGUAUCCCUGUUGGAAUACCAGUUUGCCUGUCAGAAUACAAGUUUUCCUGCCAGGAUACCAGUUUCCCUGUUAUCGUACCUCACAAA